UACGUAGGGUGCGAGCGUUAAUCGGAAUUACUGUGCGUACAGCGUGCGCAGGCGGUUAUUUAAGUCAGGUGUGAAAGCCCUGGGCUUAACCUAGGAAUUGCGCUUGAGACUGGAUAGCUUGGAGUGCGGCAGAGGGAGGUGGAAUUCCACGUGUAGCAGUGAAAUGCGUAGAGAUGUGGAGGAACACCGAUGGCGAAGGCAGCCUCCUGGGCCAGCACUGACGCUCAUGCACGAAAGCGUGGGGAGCAAACAGG
rnacentral:rRNA from 1 species